rnacentral:rRNA from 1 species
UACGAAGGGGGCUAGCGUUGUUCGGAUUAACUGGGCGUAAAGGGCGCGUAGGCGGGUUUUUAAGUCAGGGGUGAAAUCCCAAGGCUCAACCUUGGAACUGCCUUUGAUACUGGAAAUCUUGAGUCCGGGAGAGGUGAGUGGAACUGCGAGUGUAGAGGUGAAAUUCGUAGAUAUUCGCAAGAACACCAGUGGCGAAGGCGGCUCACUGGCCCGGUACUGACGCUGAGGCGCGAAAGCGUGGGGAGCAAACAGG